rnacentral:rRNA from 1 species
UACGUAGGUGGCGAGCGUUGUCCGGAAUUACUGGGUGUAAAGCGCGUGUAGGCGGGAGGCCAAGUCUGCUGUGAAAUCGCCCGGCUCAACUGGGCGGGGUCGGUGGAAACUGGUCACCUGGAGGACGGUAGAGGCGAGUGGAAUUCCCGGUGAGUGGUGAAAUGCGUAGAGAUCGGGAGGAACACCAGUGGCGAAGGCGAGCGC